rnacentral:rRNA from 17 species
UCGUCUUGGAACUGUGCUGUUGCAGGCUCAGGGGGAGGACGUGGUUCCGGUAGUUCAUCGUUCCAAGAUUCUUCAGAAACGGGUUCGAGCUGCCCUGUAACAGUUCGGUGUGUAUCGCGCUGCCGGCGGCUUGAGUGGUUCCGGUGCUCGCACGACGAGGUGAGGGGACUCUCCUCU